CCAAAUAAUUAGUGCAAUUGGGU
rnacentral:piRNA from 1 species